UUUAGAUUUCAGAUUCGAAUUGAUGUCGGUACUACUUUCGUUCUUUCUUUUGCCAUUCAAGAUGAGUGUGACUUUCAAAGGCCAUCUGGAUUGUAUUUCAGGAUUAACUGUUGGAGGUGGUUUCCUUUUUAGUUCCUCCUUUGAUAAAACAGUCCAUGUAUGGUCUCUGCAGAGUUCGAAGAUAAUCCUCACCUUUAUGUAUUGAAGCCAAUGAAAUAUUGAAGUUUGGAAAGUAAGAUUCUUGACUCUCUAUUACUAAAGUAUUGUUAUUUCUUUUAAUUGGGUCUAUGAUCUUGC